rnacentral:rRNA from 1 species
GACGAACGCUGGCGGCGUGCUUAACACAUGCAAGUCGAACGGUAAGGCCCUUCGGGGUACACGAGUGGCGAACGGGUGAGUAACACGUGGGUGAUCUGCCCUGCACUUCGGGAUAAGCCUGGGAAACUGGGUCUAAUACCGGAUAGGACUCCUGGCUUCAUGGUUGGGGGUGGAAAGCUUUUGCGGUGUGGGAUGGGCCCGCGGCCUAUCAGCUUGUUGGUGGGGUAAUGGCCUACAAAGGCGACGACGGGUAGCCGGCCUGGGAGGGUGACCGGUCACAGUGGGACUGAGAUACGGCCCAGACUCCUACGGGAGGCAGCAGUGGGGAAUAUUGCACAAUGGGCGCAAGCCUGAUGCAGCGACGCCGCGUGAGGGAUGACGGCCUUCGGGUUGUAAACCUCUUCCAGCUAUGACGAAGCGCAAGUGACGGUAGUAGCAGAAGAAGGACCGGCCAACUACGUGCCAGCAGCCGCGGUAA